AAAACGAGGGGAGACAAACAAUAUUCUACCUAUUCUAAAAUCAUAUUGCGUAUAUAGCAUUAAGAAAGAUCUUAGGCCUGUAUAUGGCUGCAUAAAAUCCAGUCUUUCAUAAAUUUGUAGUUCAAAUAAAAUAAAAGAAAGAAACAUAUAUAUCAUAUAUGGCACAUGCAUUAAUAUCAUUGUUGAUUAUUGGAAUUAUUAUUUGUACUGUGUUUAUUGAAUCUCAAUCGUCUAAUAGUCCUGUUCGUGAGGAGUUUAGGAUUAAAAGGUGUAUUGAAGAUUGCAAAUAUCGCUUUAAACCUAGUAUUGUACUAAUUGGGGACUGCAUUAAGAGAUGUAAAGCUAGGUUUGAGGAGAAGACUUAGUCUGUGAAGAAGAUUAAUUUGAGCAGUUCGACCAGACCAGAAAAUCAUGAUUCACAUUUUUCAAGCCUCUGCAGUAUGUAUGUGUAUGCAGUGCAUAUAUAUAAUUAGCCCUUGAAGACUGAGAAUUGUACAAUUCAAUACAAUAAACUUGUAGCAAUAAUAUUUCAGCAUAGUUUCAUUUUUC